rnacentral:rRNA from 1 species
GGACUACAGGGGUAUCUAAUCCCGUUUGCUCCCCUGGCUUUCGCGUCUCAGCGUCAGAAAACGUCCAGGACCUCGCUUUCGCCACGGGCGUUCCUUCCGAUCUCAACGCAUUUCACCGCUCCACCGGAAGUUCCAGGUCCCCCUACGUUCCUCCAGAAAGGCCGUAUCGGCGCCCGUUCCUCGGUUGAGCCGAGGGAUUUCAACGACCGACGCACCUUUCCGCCUACACGCGCUUUAAGCCCAGUGAUUCCGAAUAACGUUCGCACGGUUCGUCUUACCGCGGCUGCUGGCAC